AUCAUACUGAAUUAUCAGCAACAAGUUGUCCAAAUUUGUAAAAGACCCACAAUCAAGCGUACUCUAGACAUGGUCAAUAAUUAUUUCUCCUUUGCAGGCUUUAUACACACAAUAUACAUGCCAUUUGAUCAGAUAGGAAAUGCAUUAAGAUUGUGGGAACAACUACGGCAACAGUCUGCUUACAUUUCCACAUAUGGAUUUACCACCUAAAGAAGCCGGAGGAUAUAUACAACAACGAUAAUAGCUGGCAGUAGCAUGGCAUGAAUCAUUAAGAAAACAUAAGCGUGGAACCCAGGCAGUCAUAUUAACAUAUGUUUGGAUAUUGGAUAGGAUAUGACAUUCCACUGAGCUAUCCUGGCUAGCAACCAUUGGGAAUUCUUCGCCAAGGAAUUCUGGAACCAGAAAAACCUGGAUCUAGUCCCAAGGACUUGGCGAUUGUACCUGCAACAAACUAAUUAACUGCGGCAAACAUCAUCAGCGAGCCAAAAAUGAUUAGAAAUACUAUGUUACGAGCAAAGCAAAUACCCAAGAGCUGCUCGUCGCAAGACAAUGGGAUUGUAGGGAAGGAAAAUCUACGCAAAUUUGAAGAUGAAAAGGCAAACCUCGUGGAUAAGCAUAACUCCUAGGAUGUUAUUGCUGGAUGAAGAAGGCGUAACAUGUACCACAAAGAGUAAGAAAAAACAUUGUGUGAUGAUACUGCUGGUGAUUGAGGAUGCACCUCAUAGAUGGCGGACUCUGAAAUAAUAGAACUACUACUACACAAUAGUAGGAAUGCUUGCUAGAACACAAAUAGUGAAGGAUAUCAUUGUGGCAUCAAUCCACAUUCAUGUGAAGAGAUCAUGCAAAAAACGGACACAACAGAAAUUCACAACAUUCUAAGGCAAGCAACUUCUAUUAUGCACAGAAUUCCAAGAACAAAAAUGUCGUUUUCUUGAAGUACUCUUCUGGUGGAAUUUGGAAUGUCAUUAUGGAAUUCCUUGCAUCCACACAGGUGAUAAUUAAUGGAAUACCUCCUAGUCUGCUCAAUUGAUUUAUAGCAGCUAUAAAAUAAGCUUGCCUGUUGGACCUAAAUUUCUUUUAGUUCAUAAGAGAUAGACCAUAUUUUCGACAAUAAAAGUGAAAGCAUCAGUCCUUUGAACCAUGAAAGUCGAAUACCUUCUCUCUGCUCACCUGGAGGUAGCAAAAAAUAAAUCGAUGAAAAAUAAUAGUCUUAUGUAAAAAAUUGCAGAUAGAAACAUGGAUAAACAAACAAUCCGUAUAAUCAUUUUGUUGCCUCAACGACAAAUGAUAACCUCGAUAUUGAGCAUCAUGCAGCUGCAAUAUUAGAAUAAAGUAACACAUACAUAGACGCGGAGAGCCAACAUCCUCGGAUGAGGUGAAGGCCUCCUGAACAUAGGAGAUGCAAGGGCGGUGACACUGCUUACACAUAUGUUUAUAUUGUAUUUUCUAGGAUACAGUACUCCGUAUAGGGAACUUGUAAAAAUCUCAAAAAAUAAUUACCAUGCGAGCAUGGCUUUAGAUAAUGAAGCUUUAACAUGUAAAACACAAAUUUAGUAAGGGACCAACAGUUGCUUCUUUUCGAAUUCAGUCUUAUGUGUAGAAAGAAAUUAAGAACUGAUACAAGGAAAAUAUACCAUCAACCUAUGAACGUGCUAUUGUUACCAUUACAGUGAAGAAGACGUACAUGAUAGAAGAGCGCUGCUCGUUGUCCUCCUGCUUGCUUCUGCUCACAGACCGAGGG
rnacentral:lncRNA from 1 species